ACGGAAGGCAGCAGUGGGGAAUAUUGGGCAAUGGGCGCAAGCCUGACCCAGCAAUGCCGCGUGAAGGAAGAAGGCUUUCGGGUUGUAAACUUCUUUUAAGUGGGACGAUAAUGACGGUACCACUUGAAUAAGCUCCGGCUAACUACGUGCCAGCAGCCGCGGUAAUACGUAGGUGGCAAGCGUUAUCCGGAUUUACUGGGUGUAAAGGGCGCGUAGGCGGGAGAGCAAGUCAGAUGUGAAAUCCAUGGGCUUAACCCAUGAACUGCAUUUGAAACUGUUCUUCUUGAGUGCUGGAGAGGUAGACGGAAUUCCUUGUGUAGCGGUGAAAUGCGUAGAUAUAAGGAAGAACACCAGUGGCGAAGGCGGUCUACUGGACAGUAACUGACGCUGAGGCGCGAAAGCGUGGGGAGCAAACAGGAUUAGAUACCCUGGUA
rnacentral:rRNA from 1 species